GAAGUAAAAAAAAGGUAAAGCUUCUAACUUAAACCUCUAGCAGUUAAAUUCUGUUAUUACUUCU
rnacentral:tRNA from 1 species